GACAGAGGGUGCAACCGUUGCUCGGAAUUACUGGGCGUAAAGCGCGUGUAGGUGGCCACGCAAGUCAGGUGUGAAAGCCCAGGGCUCAACCCUGGAAGUGCACAUGAUACUACGUGGCUGGAGUACUGAAGAGGAGAGCGGAAUUCCCGGUGUAGAGGUGAAAUUCGUAGAUAUCGGGAGGAACACCAGUGGCGAAGGCGGCUCUCUGGGCAGAUACUGACACUGAGACGCGAAAGCGUGGGUAGCAAACAGG
rnacentral:rRNA from 1 species